rnacentral:rRNA from 1 species
UACGUAGGGUGCAAGCGUUGUCCGGAAUUAUUGGGCGUAAAGAGCUCGUAGGCGGUUUGUCGCGUCGGGAGUGAAAACCUUGGGCUUAACUCAGGGCUUGCUUUCGAUACGGGCAGACUAGAGGUAUGCAGGGGAGAACGGAAUUCCUGGUGUAGCGGUGAAAUGCGCAGAUAUCAGGAGGAACACCGGUGGCGAAGGCGGAUCUCUGGGCCUUACCUGACGCUCAGGUGCGAAAGCUAGGGGAGCGAACAGG